rnacentral:lncRNA from 1 species
CAUAUAAUCAGUCAAUGAAUCAUUAAGAUUGUUUAUCACUCAACCAAAAAUAAAUUUAGUUCAUGGUUUGCGAAAGAAAAUAAAGAAAAGAGUUUUAGCCAUCAAAUACAUCCCAUGAAUAAAUAGAAAACAAGAAAAGAACAAGAAGAACUAAUUUUCAAUGGAUCUCUGCGUUUUUUUCCUUUGGUGCAGCCCUCAAUCUCUCUCUUGAAUUAUAUUUUUCUUUUAUUUCUUUGCAGUUUUUCUCCUUGGGUGACGGCUCUCCUUUUCUUUUGCGUGUGUGCUUCUUUUAUAGAUGAAAAUUAGGGCAAACGGAAGUCUAAGGCGCGUAUCUUCCAAAUCAGAAAACUCUAGAUAGCAAUCUUCUAAGUAUCUCACACGAAAUCUUCUCUGUCGUUAUUCCAAGAUUGCUACAACAACGGCUAAAGCAACUGCACUAUUCCAGAUUUAUUUUAAUUCUUUUGUAUCCAAGUUCUUUCCUCAUUUUUGUAAGCCUAUUGCAUUAGCAUUCAUUCCUUGAAAUUUGAGCUUCCGGUCACCUACAAUUAUGCAUAUAUCUAAGCACACAAAUUAUUCUAAAUCAAACAUAAUUUAUAAAAAUUAAACUGAAUUGGAUGUUCAUGCAAAAUAUAAUUAAAAUGCAAUAAAAACAUGUCAUUUACUCUUUAAAUAUUAUCGAUUCAAGUCCAAAAGUGUUAUGAUAACUCCCAUUUCAUAGAGUUAUCAACAACCAAGAGGAAGGAAUUGAUUUUGAUGAAGCUUUCGCUUUUGUAGCUAAAUUGGAAUUCAUUAAGAUACUUUUAGCAUUUGCAUGUCAUAAAGAUUUUAUUUUGUAUCAAAUGGAUGUUAAAAGUGCAUUCAUAUAUAUUUAUAUUAUAAAGAAAUUUUAUGUGAUAUUGAGACUACUAGUAUAAAUGAUUUUAUAUCUUUGACAAUUAUAUGAUGUAGAAUAAAGAGGAAACGGCCCGUCACUUACGAAAAUGGCUAACCAUUUGGAAGGUAGUUAGUCUGUAUAAACCAAAUAGUUAACCACUUGACCCAAACGGUUAACCAUUUAAAAAAUGAGAGCCUAUCAAAUUGAAGCGGUAAACCGCUACAUGAAUACUCUCUGAAAUACAACGACUUACCAUUUUUUUUAAAUUGGUCACCGAUAUCGAUUCAUCUACCCUCUGGAAUGAAAACGGCAUGCUGCUUACGUUAAACGGUAUGCUGAUUUCGUGUUUUGAAUGACUAUUUGGUCAUCUUUCUUCAUUUUCUAUCUCUCUUUCGGUAAACCAUUUCCUUCUCUCUAGAACCGACAAUGGCUUUUCUUCUCUCUCAUUCAAAUCCUUUAUUUUCUUUACUUUUCAUGCCAAAUUAAGCCUAGUAAUCUUUAUAUUUCACUUUAACAUUAAAUAUUCAUCACCUAACACAAUUUCAUCACCUUAAUCCAAAAAUCCUAAAUCUACCCAUUUUUUCUACCUUUUUAUUCAAAAUUGAUUCAUUUUUCAUCAAUGUUUGAUGAAAUUGACACACCACAUCACUUUUAAAAAUCUUUUUCUACCUUUUAAUCGGUUCAUAUCUACCCAUUUCAAGAAUUCUCCUUAAAAUUUAAAUUUGAGCAUCCAUGGCAUAUGACUAGUUCUAGGGCAAAGAAGGGCAAACACCUAGCUCCUAAGACAAAGCGCCAUCGACCUAUAGAUGAUCUUGAUGAGUACCUGACUUCAGCUCCAUUCAUUUUGCAACGGUACCAAUGGCCACGCGCUUUUACAACAAAUUCAGGCCGUGCCUGGUACUUGAUUUUUUUUUUUUGUUAAUUUGGAUAGCAUGUCUACACUUAGUAUUUGUAAUAAAAAUUUGACAGAAUUUUUGGAGGGAAUUGGUUGGAGUAAUGUUUUGGUUAUUAAGAAGAACGUGUAUCCUAAUUUGGCUAUCCUAAUUUGGUUAAAGUAUUUUACUUGAUAUGGAUAUUUCCGCAUAAAAGAAAGAUUGAGUAAUCACUAAUGUUACUAGCAUCCCUAUAGAGUUUGAUGUUGCUGACUUUAAUACAAUCUUAGGAACUCCAAAGAUAGGCCUAUAACUAUACUUAUCUUGGAAAAAACUCAUAUUUGCUAGGCACACAUGUCGAUACUGUUAGAAACAUUUGUACACGUCAGUAACUUAUCUGGUGAUGUUUGUAUUAUUCAUUUUCGUGAUCAAUGCUUGUGUCUUCAAUCCCAUAUUUUAUAUAGCAUACUCUAACAUGUUGCUAGUCCUAUGAAGGGGCAUGCCGAAGAGGUUACUCGUUUAGAUGUGGCUUUAAUUGAUUGUAUUUUAUGGGUUGUAAGGUUAACCUUACGUACGUCAUUAUCUGUCAUAUGCUUAGUAUUCCGAUGGUUAUUAACUAAUCAUUUCCAUAUGGAAGUAUUAUAAACCGAAUCCUGGAGCAUUUUUGAGUGCCUAUAGAUGAAUUUGCUUUUCAGCAGACCAAACCGUUGAGGGGUGAUAUUAUUUGUGGUCUAGGAUUUGAUUGGUAGAAUGAGCAAUGGGUCAAAGGGUUUUCAAUAAAAAAAUCAGUACACAUUGAUAGCUCUUAAUAACGAGUAUAUGCUCAAUGAUGUCCUGGCUUUCGACCAACUACCCGAUAUUUGUCUCCCACUACGACAAUAAGUUAGACCUCAAGCUCCAGCAGCUCCUGCUCCAGACGCUCUACUUCCGCAACACCUACUGCUGACACACAUGCGCUAAAAGAAGUUACUCGUCAGUAGCUGCUUAAUGAGGUUCGCUCUCUCUGUGUAUAGCAUACUAGUUUUUAAUAGUAUAUCCUUAAGGAGCAGCAAUGACUUUUUCAUUAGCAGCAGCAGAUUCUUGAUAGACAGUGACAGCUAUUCGAGCAUCUCGGGUUUCCCUAUUCUCUACCUCCACCACCUCAGUAGUUUCUAUAGUCUUUAUCUGUAUUUCACUAUGACACACCAAUAUUUACAUUACAUUGUCAUUAUAACUAUUCAGUAUUUAUGUGCUUGUGGUUAUCAUGAUCUUAUGCUUAUAUUAUGAUAGUUAAUGCAUUUCUUAAGACCAGUGAUUGAUAGGGGAGCUUUUCUGAACAUUUUUACCUUGGUAUUGCUUUAUAUUUUGGUCAUUUUCUAUCAUUUUUAUUUCUCUUUAUGCAAAUUUAUGCUUUUGAUGAUGAAAGGGGGGAAAAAUAUGUAUUUUGAAUUGUUAUUGAAAUGAAGCGAAUUGGUAUUCAAUUGAAGUGAUUAGUAUUAAUUUAAAAUGAUAGUGAUUGGUAUUGUAUUUUGAAAUGAUAUUUGAAAUGGUAUUGAUUUGAAGUGAUUGACAUUGAUAUAAAAUUUGACAUGUUGUGACACAGGCACACACACAGGGAGAGUUACGAAUUGCACAUGUCAUAUAUUCAGGGGGAGUUUUAGUUAUAUAUUUCAAAAUACAUUAAGUGAUUUGUUAUCAUUAAAAAGGAGGAGAUUAUUGACAUGUAUAGUUAUAUGGCCUUUUGAUUUUGAUGAUAACAAACUACAGUAUAACCUUUAUAAAUUAAUACUCGAUAAAUUAAUAAUCUCUAUAAUAUAAUAAUUUUUUGCGGUCGUAACUUGGGCGCUGAAGCUAAAUUAAUAAUUUUGAUAAAUUAAUAAGAUAAUAAUUUUUCUGACAACUCCUAUAUAACUCUGUAGUCCCAUUUAUAUCAUAAAUUAAUAAUUGUAGAAAUUACAAAUACUGUGAAAUUACAAAUGUAACUGACUAUGUCAAUUUAUUAAAAUAUGAGUCUAUUGUAACUUGUUUUUUUCUUGAAGUUUAAAUCUAGUUGAAUCUCAUCUCUAAUUUUUCUUAUUGCAUCUAAAAGUUCUGGGGUUGAAUUCUCGUACUGCAAUAAAAAAUUAUGAAGCGUUGUUGAUGACUUUUGUGCUUCAGUGCGCGAAGUAGGCUCUAAAUGUACCGUGUCAUCCUUAACUUCAUCUUCAGCACGAUUUUCAAUGAUGUUAGCAACAAUUUCUUCUAAACUUUGGACCUCUAAAUGUUAGUUCUUUGUACUGUGAACACACUUUAUAAAUUAAUAAAUUAUUAAUUGUAAUAGUAGCCGCAGUAAGAAGUGCAAAUUAGAUUUAACUCUCCGCUUGUAAAUAUUUUCUUCUGUGUUGCACCACCCAGGUGAUGUCUUAUCAACUCUACUUCUUUCUUUUAAAACAUUGAGGACAAUGUUUCGUUCUGAUUGGGGGGAGGGAAUAGUUGACAAUUGUUGAAUGUCUCAAUUUUGGUUAAGUUUUUACUGAUUUUUUGUUGUAGAGACUAACCGUGGCUAACUUUUUCAGUCGAAAAUGGCUGAAUAUGGAGUGUAGUGACUCUAGAAACACAUCUUUUUAGUUAAAAACAAAUUCAAACAUUUUCUUUUCCUAUCAUUUUAAGUGUAACAUUUCUAGUUAGUUUUUCUGCAUCAUUUUCACCUUUCUGCAUGCAUAUUUUCUUUUCAUGUUUAUAAUAGGAUGGGGUAGAAUGUCGUUUGAACAAAAAAAAAUUAUGUGAUUUUUUUUAAAUAUUGGAUGACAUGAUUACUUUCAAAUUUUAGUACAGUAUAACCUCUAUAAAUUAAUAUUCGAUAAAUUAAUAAUCUCUAUAAUAUAAUAAUUUUUUGCAGUCCUGACUUGGACCCUGAAGCUAAAUUAAUAAUUUCAAUAAAUUAAUAAGAUAAUAAUUUUUUUUCUGAAAACUCCUAUAUAACUCUGUGGUCCCAUUUAUAUCAUAAAUUAAUAAUUGUAGAAAUUACAAAUACUGUGAAAUUACAAAUGUAACUGACUAUGUCAAUUUAUUAAAAUAUGAGUCUAUUGUAACUUGUUUUUUUCUUGAAGUUUAAAUCUAGUUGAAUCUCAUCUCUAAUUUUUCUUAUUGCAUCUAAAAGUUCUGGGGUUGAAUUCUCGUACUGCAAUAAAAAAUUAUGAAGCGUUGUUGAUGACUUUUGUGCUUCAGUGCGCGAAGUAGGCUCUAAAUGUACCGUGUCAUCCUUAACUUCAUCUUCAGCACGAUUUUCAAUGAUGUUAGCAACAAUUUCUUCUAAACUUUGGACCUCUAAAUGUUAGUUCUUUGUACUGUGAACACACUUUAUAAAUUAAUAAAUUAUUAAUUUAUCGAUUAAUUAAUAUCUCUCUAAAUUAAUAAAUUUUUAUGGUCCCGAAAUUAUUAAUUUAUAGAGGUUAUUCUGUAUGUGUUAAAGAUAUAAUAGGAAAUACAAAUAUCUCUAUAUCUCGUUUCUAAACUUGCAACUAAAUGAAUGUAUGAUUAAAUCUCUUAAAAUGUUUUCUUUGUACUUUCAAGAAAAAAUCUUUUAUGUGGAUAUAUAAUCUCAUGAAACGUGUUAUUAAAUUUUUAUUAUUUUUAUGUCCUAAAAAUAAGCUUCUUAAGUUUACAUAAAAGUUUUCGGAACAAAAAUUUAUUUUCUUUGUAAACCGCAAACCGCUAUGAUUAAAACCGUAAGCUCGAUGAGGGUAGAAAUUGCUUUUGGACACAAGUGGCUUACCACUAAAGUUUAAAUGGCAAAUCGACUUCAAUCAGUGACUCUCUAGAACCCAAAUGUCAAAUUGGCAAACUUGAAGUGGCAAACUAAUUAUAUUUUAGUGACUCUAUAGAAUCCAAACUUCAAAUCGCCAGAUUUGAAGCGGCAAAUCGAUUGCAUCUAAAUAACUCGCUACAAUCCAGUGGUUUACUGCCAACGUUAAAGUAGUAGACCGCUUUUAAUCAAAUGAGGUUUUUGUAACGCCCCAAAUCUAACACGUGUGAAGCACGUGGAGAAGGAGGUUACUUAGAAAUCGUAAUCCUUACUCAUAAAUUUCAAAGUGAAAUACCUCAAAUUCUUAUUCAAUUAAAUCCACAAAUUCACACAUUCUACACUAAAUAGUCUCUCCCAAAAAUAAAAAAAGUCUCAAACUUCAAAUUACAAGUUCAUAACAAAAAUAAACUAAAUAGAAACAUGAGUUCAUUCCUCUUCUUAUUCAAAUAGCAAACGGAAAUGAAAUCACUAACUCCAAAGCUCGGCACACCUUUCAAACGGAACUUAAUUUGCAAAAAGUAAUGACGAGGGGUGAGCCGUCAACUCUUACUGGUCCAGACAGAUAUAUCGUAUAUUACGAUCAGAAUCAGAAUAACUAUGGAUAAUGAGCUAAAACAUUUGAAAUCCCAUACAAUCAUCAAUAAUUGAAAUCAGAUAUGGGUACAAAAUAUUCAUAUCAGAUUCAUAAAAGUCCAUAACAAUAAUUUAGGCUUGCAUAAUAUUUUAUAGACAAAAUUAUAAAAGAUAGUCAUGUCAUAAAAUAAUUUACAUAUUGAAAAGAAUUUAUGAAAUAUUUUGUUAAAAGGAUUUAGAUUUGAAAACAUUUUCAUAAACUGACUUUGUAAUGAAAAUCCAUUAAUCUUCUAAGUAGUAUAAAAACUCUUAUAAUAAUAUCAAAAUACUUAUACAUAUCCAGUAUAUUAGGAAUGAAGUUACUUACCUCAAUAAAGGGAUUUGAACUAACACACCUCUAAGGUAGCGUUUACUCUUUGGAUUAGAGUAGGAAUUCUGAGGAGUGGGAAUCCUAGGAUUGGGAGUGUGGAAUGGGAGUAGAAGUAGGUUGUUUACUUACACUGGAAUGGAGAUCAGAAUCCAAUUUAUGUGUUUACUUUAUCUUAGAUUGGGAGUAAAUAGUUUCAAAUUAUAAUUUUAUCCUUAUUUAAAGAAUUAUAGUUUUUAAUUACAAAGCUAAUAAAAAAUAUAUUUAAUGAAUAAAUAUUUAUUUUAUUAUAUUUGUAAAUUUAUAAUAAUUAUUAAUAUUCUUAAUUAUGAACAUCACAUUUUUUUUAAUUUUAAUUUUAAUAUAAAAUGAAACGUUAUUUUAUUUUAUUUAAUACUGCUGUACGGCCAAGGCGGAUGUACGGUACAGCAGAAAAACAAGCCUGACCAACCACUUCCCAUAUGUUCAAAGCAAAUUUUCAAAAUCAAGCCACGCGGUUCAAUUUUGUUACACAAAUGAGCACCAGAAACAGAUUUCUUGCAUUAACAACAUUUUAAAUCUCAAGGCAAAGAGAACUUUUGAUGGUAGCAACCCAAAAUUUUCAAAUUUCCCAGCUUGAUUAUUUAGUAAAAACAUGAAACUGAUUUGAACUUCAAGUGAACCCAUAUCUUAAAACUAUUAUUUUUAAAAUAAAUAUAAUAAUAUUAUAUUUAUUAAUUCUCUAUUAAUAUAAUAAUAUUAUUUUUAAAUAAUUUUAACUUAGAAUCAAUACAAAUUAUUAUUUAGUUAAAUAUAAUAAUAUUAUUCAAAUAAAUAUAAUAUUAUUUAUUUUAUUUUAUUAAUUAUAAAACAUUAAAUUGAAUUAAAUUAAAAAAAAGGUAGAAAAGGGAGAGGUGUGAGUGGAUUCCCAAUCCCUCCCCAAUUUAAUGAAUUAACACGGGAGUGGGAGGAAUCCACACUCCUCACUCCCACUCCAGAAAGUAAAUACAGCGUAAAAGUCUCUAAAGUCUCAAUCACCUCCAAUACCUUAACAAAUAUAAGAUAUAACUAUUAAUAACUUAUCCUAAGAAUCUGAUUUGCUAAUUCAUACCUGUACUAGUCUGAUUCUUAAAAUUUUAACUCUUAAUCUAAAACUCAAAAUGACAUAAUAUUCUAUAGAACCAUUAUGGACAUCCAUGGGUACCUCAUAUAAAAUUUCCAAGAGGAUCCGAUACCAAAAACAUUUUCAAAACUAUUUAUUGCUUGACAAAUUCAAAACUGUUUCACAGUAUCUUAACCGAACAGACCGUAUUUGGAGAAUUUUAUAAAAUCAGAUACGGAUCAGAAAAUUGUGAAAUUAAAACUAGGAAUACUAUACACAUGUAUCAACUCCUAUAUAAAAUUUAAGAAUGUUUCGAGUUCAUUUAGUAGUACAAAUAAGUUUAUGAAUUAGAUUUCCUUGUUGUAAUCACAAUUUUCCAGUGUAUUAAUGUUCGAUUCACAAAUCCAUAUAAAAUUGAAAACAAAGUCAAAUCUUAUGAAAUAAAAUUUAAUCAAUAAUCCCUACAUGUCUAGUUUUCAGAAAUAUAAAGUUCUUAGAAAACUCAUUACGAAAAUAUAUGUUUAAAUUCGAGAUACUCAUAUUGUCCAGAAUUUGUCCAGUGUGCUUAAUACACCAAGGGUUGAUUAUUAAAACCCAAAAUAAAUCAAAACUCGAAACAAAACCUAAACACACCUUAAAUCAUGUAUUAUAGUCUGCAUCAAUCUAAAAUCAUGCUAAUAUAAACCCUAAAUAGAGUGAUUGGAAAUCUCAUGGAGACUAAGGAGAGUAAACUUACCAAUUGCUUUGAUUCUCUUCCAAACAAAUGUUUUAA